ensembl:lncRNA
AGCCGGACUGUUCCCCGGACUCCAGUUGUAGCCAUUCGUACAAGGCACAAACAAGGCUAUUGAACCUGACAUUGGUGUCUGUCGUUAUUCCUUUAUCUAACAUAUCAUACUGAAACAGCUGCCUGCCACCUCUGAAAAACCCCAAUCACCAGUUUUCCCCUAUCUGUGGUGAGUUUGUACAGCCUAUCCCAGCUCCCCGAGAACACCGCUUACCUCCUCCGGAGCAAUAUUCGGAGAAUCCUGGUACCUGCCAGGGUUUUCUUUCUCAGUGCUCACUUAUUUUUAAGCUACAGCCAUCUUCGUUUCCUUCAGACAGAUCGAAGAUAGCGUAUAUUAUUACGCUAAUGUCGGGAAGGGCGCUCUCCUGGGCUACGGUAGUUUGGGAGCAACAAUCUGCCAUUUGUGGUCAUCAGGAGGAAUACAUGACAGAAGUGAAAGGUAUUUGAGUCUCCUGUUUCCGGGAGGAAGGCGACUAGUAAACUGCUUGACUUACGUCAAAACCACCGUAGUGUGGCAGACUACGCGGUUGAUUUUUGCACGUUGGCCGCCGAGAGUGCCUGAAAUUCUGAGUCUCUUUUCGAUACUUUUCUGCACGGAUUAUCUGAGGAGGUAAAGGAUGAGCCAGCUGCUCUGGAAAUGUAGCUGGAUCUCGACUCACUUAUCACUCUUACCAUUAAAAUUGAUGGACGCCUAGGGGUACGCAAGAGUGAGAGGAGGUCUGGUCUUGGGCACCCUCGUGCACCCGCUAUGGAGCAUUCACCUCCUAUGGAAUCCAGAAGUUUCCGAAGGCAGCUCUUCCGAGAGGAUUCGAAGCCACCCGAUCACUCUCUGGAAUCUACGAUGGGCCCAUCCCUCCCCCCCGGGUUAUCGGUGGCCAGCCAGCGUAUACGUUGAGACUCCUCCUGAAGGUUUGACCACGGGGCAGGGAUUUCCAGUACCUGGUUGACUGGGAGGGUUAUGGCCCGGAAGAGAGGUGCUGGGUCCCUGCUGCCGACCCCGCUCAGCCAGUCCUCCCGGUUUUGACCCUUGCCUGUUUCUGGACUCUGUACCCGCCUGCCUGACCAUUCUGACCACGAGCCUGUCUGCCACUCUGUACCUCCUGGACUCUGAUCUGCUUUUGACCUUUGUGCCUACCACGACCAUUCUCUUGCCUACCCCUUUGGAUUAUUAAAC